rnacentral:rRNA from 1 species
AUUGAACGCUGGCGGCAUGCCUUACACAUGCAAGUCGAACGGCAGCACGGGAGCAAUCCUGGUGGCGAGUGGCGAACGGGUGAGUAAUAUAUCGGAACGUGCCCGGUCGUGGGGGAUAACGUAGCGAAAGCUACGCUAAUACCGCAUACGAUCUAAGGAUGAAAGCGGGGGACUCGCAAGAGCCUCGCGCGAUUGGAGCGGCCGAUAUCAGAUUAGGUAGUUGGUGGGGUAAAGGCUCACCAAGCCAACGAUCUGUAGCUGGUCUGAGAGGACGACCAGCACACUGGAACUGAGA